GGUCGUGUGUUAAAAGCCCCGCCCCGGCGGAGAUAUAGUUCUAAUAUAGUGAAUUUUGCUGUGCUGUAGAUGUAUUUAUUUUUAUAUCAGCAAUUCAAGUGUAUUUUCAAGAAAUUAAUAAAGGAAAUUGCAUACUCUAGUAUUUUGCAGAAAUGCCUGGUAAGGUACCCUAAUUUUUUGCAAGAAAGCUUGUCAAAGUAGUAGUAAACCAUUAACAAAUUCCUGGAAAAAGUUAUCUAAAAUUGAGGAACGUGUUGUCUGACCUUAAAAUAGAAUGCUGUUUUAAUAAAUUCACUGCCAAAUUAUAUUUUGAAAACAUUGAGAUGCUUUAAUGGUAAAUUUAUUAAUAUUAUAUAGAAAGCAUACUCAGAUGUUACAGUGAUUAAGAUGGUUAUAUUGUUAAUAAUGUGUUUUUGUAUGUUAUUAACUUAUUCAAUAAACUUCAGGCUCUUGAACAAUGCACAAUACUGAAUGAUGUUUAUGAAAUUGUCAUCAAAUAAAAAUUACAACAU
rnacentral:misc_RNA from 1 species